AAAAUGCGAUAAGUAAUGUGAAUUGCAGAAUUCAGUGAAUCAUCGAAUCUUUGAACGCACAUUGCGCCCGCCAGUAUUCUGGCGGGCAUGCCUGUUCGAGCGUCAUUUCAACCCUCAAGCCCCCGGGUUUGGUGUUGGGGAUCGGUCUGCGGUUCUACCGCGUCCCGGCCCCGAAAUCUAGUGGCGGUCUCGCUGCAGCCUCCAUUGCGUAGUAGCUAACACCUCGCAACUGGAACGCGGCGCGGCCAAGCCGUUAAACCCCCAACUUCUGAAUGUUGACCUCGGAUCAGGUAGGAAUACCCGCUGAACUUAAGC
rnacentral:misc_RNA from 1 species